rnacentral:rRNA from 1 species
AGCGAACGCUGGCGGCAGGCCUAACACAUGCAAGUCGAGCGCCCAGCAAUGGGAGUGGCAGACGGGUGAGGAACACGUGGGAACGUGCCUUUUGGUUCGGAAUAACUCAGGGAAACUUGUGCUAAUACCGGAUAAGCCCUUCGGGGGAAAGAUUUGUCGCCAAAAGAUCGGCCCGCGUCUGAUUAGCUAGUUGGUGAGGUAAAGGCUCACCAAGGCGACGAUCAGUAGCUGGUCUGAGAGGAUGAUCAGCCACACUGGGACUGAGACACGGCCCAGACUCCUACGGGAGGCAGCAGUGGGGAAUAUUGGACAAUGGGGGCAACCCUGAUCCAGCCAUGCCGCGUGAGUGAUGAAGGUCUUCGGAUUGUAAAGCUCUUUUGGCGGGGACGAUAAUGACGGUACCCGCAGAAUAAGCCCCGGCUAACUUCGUGCCAGCCGCCGCAGUAA